GGAGGAGCCAAACUUUACUAGGAGCUGCUGUUUCGCGUUCUUGGGACGUUAGGCAGCGCCUCCCAGCGUGAGGCGGAGCAGCUGGCAGCGCCUGCUUUCGUGGAAUGAAAAUAAUUCCACUUCAAGUGCUUGAUGAAGGCUGAUUUUUUUUACUUAGAGAACUUCAAAUUUAGCUACAGAAACACAUUGAGACUUCAGGAUGAGAAGGUCAACUCCACUGAAAUAGAUGAGACCAGUGAGACCACAUUCAUCCCAGGCUUCAUGCUUAACAGAGAAACAUCUAAUUUCUGAUAAACUCCCAGGUGUUUGUAAAACACAUUUGAAUCAUGUAUGCAUGGAUGGUUUUCUCUGUAUCCUUCUGCCACAGUCCUGGACUCUACUCACCAUCAGAUCAGAGGUCAACAACAAAUUUCCUCAUGUUUAAGAGUUGAGAAUUAAAAAUUUAUGCUCAACUAGGAACAUAAAAGGUAAGGACAUAAAUAGCUAAGUGGGGGAUCACAGCCCUUAUUGAUUUGGGGAAAAUUUCUGCUUUUGAUUUCAUUAGUGUUACAUAUCUUAAAUGGAUUCAAAACAAGACAAAACCCAGAAAUUGUGCCAUUUCAUGGAGACAAAUCCUGACAAGUAAAACUAAAACCAAAAUUAUGAAAAUACCCAACAUCAACUUUCAUCUUCAUCGACAUCUACAAAUUUAUUUCCAAUUGAUUUAGAAGACCAAAACAAAUAUUGGAUUGAUUUUUGAAUGCCAAAUAGGGGGCUCAUAGCUUUACUAGCUGAUGCUACUCAUAUC